rnacentral:rRNA from 1 species
AUUGAACGCUGGCGGCAUGCUUUACACAUGCAAGUCGAACGGUAACAGGCCGCAAGGUGCUGACGAGUGGCGAGCGGGUGAGUAAUGCAUCCGAACGUGCCCAGUCGUGGGGGAUAACGCCGCGAAAGCUGCGCUAAUACCGCAUACGACCUAUGGAUGAGAGCGGGGGACCGUAAGGCCUCGCGCGAUUGGAGGGGCCGAUGUCAGAUUAGGUAGUGGGUGGGGUAAAGGCUCACCAAGCCAACGAUCUGUAGCUGGUCUGAGAGGACGACCAGCCACACUGGGACUGAGACACGGCCCAGACUCCUACGGGAGGCAGCAGUGGGGAAUUUUGAACAAUGGGCGCAAGCCUGAUCCAGCAAUGCCGCGUGCAGUAAGAAGGCCUUCGGGUUGUAAACUGCUUUUGUACGGAACGAAAAGGCUCUGGUUAAUACCUGGGGCUCAUGACGGUACCGUAAGAAUAAGCACCGGCUAACUACGUUCCAGCCGCCGCAGUAAUAC